CACGUAGGGCGCAAGCGUUGUCCGGAAUUAUUGGGCGUAAAGAGCUCGUAGGCGGUCUGUUGCGUCCGCUGUGAAAACUCGGGGCUUAACCCCGAGCCUGCAGUGGAUACGGGCAGACUAGAGGUAGGUAGGGGAGAAUGGAAUUCCUGGUGUAGCGGUGAAAUGCGCAGAUAUCAGGAAGAACACCCGUGGCUAAGGCGGCUCUCUAGUACGGUACUGACGCUGAGACGCGAAAGCGUGGGGGAGCGAACAGG
rnacentral:rRNA from 1 species